rnacentral:misc_RNA from 1 species
UUGGAGUCGUUUGCUUUGCAUUUGCGUCGCUUCGCAGCUUGUCGUGUCGGGUAGCUACACAAAUAGCAAAUAUCUACACCUGGAAUUGAAAAAAAAGUUGUUCUGCCUCAAUUAGAAAAAAUUUCACUGCAAGCAGCGACUUUUGACUGCGAUAGAAAUUAGAGAUUUUUGUGCGAAAUCCCAGAGUAAAAGCCGUUGGCGGAGUUCUGUGGACGUCUCUGUGGGCAGAAGCAGCAUAAUAAACGUGCAAUUGCAAAUCUUCAAAUUACAAGCAAAAACAAAAAAAAAACGGAAUGGACAAAUUGGAUACCAAUUUGGAACAGCAGUUCGAUUUGAAUCUUAUUGAAGCUGUGAAACUGAACCCGGUCAUAUACGACCGUUCCCACUAUAACUACAAGCAUUUUGUAAGGAAGGCGCAGACCUGGAAGCAGAUUGCAGAAUCACUUGGAGUUCCUGAACAAAAAUGCACUAAACGUUGGAAGAGUUUGCGCGAUAAAUUUGCGCGGGAAAUGAAAUUGUGCCAGGAAUCGCGUUGGCGUUACUUUAAGCAAAUGCAGUUCUUAGUCGAUUCGAUAAGACAAUAUCGCGAAUCGCUUUUGGGUAAAUGUAAUACUGUACAGCAGAAUACCAAUCAAGUAACACAAGUUGAUCCAAAUCAACAACAACAGCAGCCUCAGCAACAGGCUGUCGUAGAUAUAUUUGCACAGCCCUUCAACGGCAGUGCUACCACAUCGGCUCAAGCGCUUGCUCAUCCGCAUGAAAUUGCAGUUACAGGCGACACUCAAUUAACCGCCGCCGGUAAAGAUCAAAAACCAUAUUUCUAUGAGCCACCACUGAAGCGCGAGCGUACCGAGGAAGAAAAUCACGACAAUAUGCUAAACACAAUCAAGAUUUUCCAAAAUUCGAUGUCGCAGGCAGUUAGUGCUGAGGAUCAAUCGUUUGGCAUGGUGGUCACUGACAUGCUUAACACCUUGGGUGUGCGACAGAAGGCUGAAGCAAAGGUGCACAUCAUCAAAUACCUUACGGAUAUGCAAUUGCUGGCACAGCAUAACAAAUAUUAGAUGGAGUAACGCGUGGCGAUAUGCAUAUUUAAUGUGUUUGUAGAAGUUUUGAAAUAGCUACACAUGCGUUCAUGCUUAAUUUAAAAUACCAUAUUUCGAUAUACGUGCAUAGUUGUAACAGGGAAGAAUAUAAAUAAGUGGAAUAAUUGCCGAUGGCACUUCUUCAAUCUUAAUUGGAUUUAUUGUAUUUACCUAUUAGAAAUUAUUCGCGUAUAAGAGCUUAAUGUAAUACAUACUUAUGUAUAUACAUACAUACUAUAAUAUGAAACAUGUAUACAUGUGAAUUUAUAAAUGAAAAAACAAAA